CAUCUCUUAAAGCCAACUCAAGCCUAUUCAAUGACUCAUAACACUUGGCUCUCCUCAACAAAGCUUUACUAUACUUUGGAGCAACUUCAAGCGCCAAGUUGCAUUCGGUUAUUGCUCUUGGGUAUUCACCAAGGCCAAUAUGCCGCCAAGUUGCAUUCAGUUAUUGCUCUUGGGUAUUCACCAAGGCCAAUUUGCAUAUAGCAAGCAGCCAUGUUAGUAUGCAAAUAGGCGACAUCAAUAUGGUUUCCAGGAAUCAACUUGAGAGCCUUCUCAUACUUCAACAUAGCACCCUCGUGAUCACGUUUCUGAAAAAGU
rnacentral:lncRNA from 1 species